rnacentral:tRNA from 1 species
GAUAGAGUCCAUUUUUACACGCUAUAUUUGGCAACGAUGUAAGUCAUUGU